rnacentral:snRNA from 1 species
GUGCUCACUUCGGCAGCACAUGUAGUAAAACUGGAACGACACAGAGGAGAUUAGCAUGGCCCCCCACAAGGAUGAUAUGCAAAUUUGUGAAGCGUUCAAUAUUAAA